AUACCUUUCUUGGCCUUUUGGCUAAGAUCAAGUGUAGUAUCUUUUCUUAUCAGUUUAAUAUCUUAUACGUGGUUCAUAGAACCACAUGAUAUUAAAUGUAUUUUUCUAGGGGGAGGGCCCACUUACAAUAGCUUUCUAUUGGGGCCAUCGGUCGUGCAUUUCAUUUGGUGGCGUGUUUAUCAG
rfam:Picea glauca, whole genome shotgun sequence.